rnacentral:rRNA from 1 species
CGUGUAGGCGGUAGUGAUAAUCAGAUGUGAAAUCCUUCGGCUUAACCGGAGAACUGCAUCUGAAACUUCACAACUCGAGUACAGGAGAGGGAAACGGAAUUCCCGGUGUAGAGGUGAAAUUCGUAGAUAUCGGGAGGAACACCAGUGGCGAAGGCGGUUUCCUGGCCUGAUACUGACGCUGAGGCGCGAAAGCAUGGGGAGCAAACAGGAUUAGAUACCCUGGUAGUCCAUGCCGUAAACGGUGAACACUAGGUGUGGGAGGCGUAAUACCUUCUGUGCCGAAGCUAACGCGUUAAGUGUUCCGCCUGGGAAGUACGGCCGCAAGGUUGAA